rnacentral:rRNA from 1 species
CGAGCGGAAAGGCCCUUCGGGGUACUCGAGCGGCGAACGGGUGAGUAACACGUGGAUUAUCUACCUUUAGACCCGGGAUAGCCUGCCGAAAGGCAGGGUAAUACCGGAUAGUCCGGCAACGGUAAAGGUUUACCAUCUAAAGAUGAGUCCGCGUCUGAUUAGCUUGUUGGUGGGGUAAAGGCCUACCAAGGCGACGAUCAGUAGCCGGCCUGAGAGGGUGAACGGCCACAAUGGAACUGAGACACGGUCCAU